UGGGGAAUAUUGGACAAUGGGCGCAAGCCUGAUCCAGCGAUGCCGCGUGUGUGAAGAAGGCCUGCGGGUUGUAAAGCACUUUUAGCGAGGACGAGGGUUACCGUGUUGAAUAGACGUGGUAAUUGACGGUACUCGCAGAAAAAGCACCGGCUAACUCUGUGCCAGCAGCCGCGGUAAUACAGAGGGUGCAAGCGUUAAUCGGAAUGACUGGGCGUAAAGAGCGCGUAGGUGGUUAUGUAAGUCGGAUGUGAAAGACCUGGGCUUAACCUGGGGGUGUCAUCCGAUACUGUGUAGCUAGAGUAUGGGAGAGGAAAGCGGAAUUUCCGGUGUAGCGGUGAAAUGCGUAGAUAUCGGAAAGACACCGGUGGCGAAGGCGGCUUUCUGGCCUAAUACUGACACUGAGGUGCGAAAGCGUGGGGAGCAAACAGGAUUAGAUACCCAAGUAGUCCCUGAGCGGGCUGGCAAGGCGCAU
rnacentral:rRNA from 1 species